AUUGAACGCUGGCGGCAGGCCUAACACAUGCAAGUCGAGCGAGCGGCGGACGGGUGAGUAAUGUAUGGGGAACUGCCCGAUAGAGGGGGAUAACUACUGGAAACGGUAGCUAAUACCGCAUACAAUCGGAUGAGCCCAUAUGGGCUUAGCUAGUGGGUGGGGUAAAGGCUCACCAAGGCGACGAUCCCUAGCUGGUCUGAGAGGAUGACCAGCCACACUGGAACUGAGACACGGCCCAGACUCCUACGGGAGGCAGCAGUGGGGAAUAUUGCACAAUGGGCGCAAGCCUGAUGCAGCCAUGCCGCGUGUAUGAAGAAGGCCUUAGGGUUGUAAAGUACUUUCAGCGGGGAGGCGUUACCCGCAGAAGAAGCACCGGCUAACUCCGUGCCAGCAGCCGCGGUAAUAC
rnacentral:rRNA from 1 species